rnacentral:lncRNA from 1 species
CUCCUGGCACUCAGGUGCAUCAGUUCAUUGUCCUCAUGCCAGUGGUGGGGGCAUCCCUAAUGCACAGAGCCUGAAAAAUGCUCAGGUGUACCUGUAGUGUGUGAGAGGAAGGAGGCUGGCAAAGGUGGGCGUGGCCACCUCGCCAGGUGUGGGUCUUGAGGGAACUUCUGUCUCCUUUCAGGUGGCACAGAAUGUGUCCUUGUACACAGGCGACCCCAGCCUGGGGCUGAGCUGUUUGAGGCAGCUGGAGACAUCUUCUUCAAUGGGGCCUGGGAGCGGGAGAAAGCCGUGUCCUUCUACCGGGGACCGGGUCCUGGCCCUGGCCCUGGCAGUGACUAUGGGCAACUGCAAGGCGGGAGCUGCAGCUACAGCUGUGCAAAAAAGCUGGUGGCACUCCUGCCACCCUGGAGGAGCCCAGGAGGCUUGGGAGUUUGCCUACAUGGCCCUAGCACUCAGCAUCACUCUGGGUAAGUCCCCUGAGCCCCCACCCUGCCAGGACCCACACUUUGCCAGAGCCCAGCCUCCAGGUCUGCAGGGCAGGAGCUGAAACAGCUGCUGGAUUUUCCUGGUCUCCGUCCAGGCAGGCAGAUCUGCCCAACUGGCUUCCCUAUCCGGCUGUGGGGCACAGCCCGAGGUCUCUCACGCAGGUGCAGAGCUCCCUGCCUGACUGAGCUCUGCUUCCUCUGCCUGUUCCUGCUGCUGACCACAAGGGCCGCCCAGUGUGCCCUCUGCCUUCCAGACAUGCCAGGCAUCUCAUUGGUCCCUGUGCCAGGCUGAGUGGCACAUUCCCUUUCUCUUGUGCCCUUCCCAAUCAUCAACCACACGCUCUCUGGCUGAUAAAAUCCCAGUUCCCCUUCCAGCAGUCUGCCCCUUAAGGCCGGGCAUCCCCUGGUGCUGUGCCAGGGUCGUCUGUCCCCCUCCAGAGACAGGGAACCCUAGGCAGGCCACAUGCCCCAGCGCCUUGUGCCCCGUGGCCCAUUACACAGUAGGUGUGCAGCUGACUCCCCAAGGUAGGGGGCUCUGAUUGCACACCAGGAGGAGUCGGAUGUCACGUCUGUGGGUUGCCUGGAGCCGGGGUGCCCAGGAGCACCUGGACUGCAUGGCUUUUGGGCUCCUGGUUAAAACCAGUGAGCAAAGGCAGGUGGCUCUGUGUAGACAGAACUGGGCCAUCCAAGUCCGACUUUCCAAAGCCUCACAGUAGACAGGGGCAGGCCUUAUUAGUUCUGCUUUGCACAUGGGAAAGUGAGUCUGGGAACCUGGAAGGGACUGGCCAGAGCUGCCCAGGUGACCACAGGUGCCUGGAGGCAAGCCAGGCAUGCAGCCCGGGGUCUGCAUACCUGCUCCUGAGGGGCCUGAGCCCUCCCUGCCCCAGGGAGCCACGUCCUCACACCUGCCCUUUGGCCUGCACCCAGGGGACCAGUGAACGAGCGCAUGGCCUACCACGGCUGGCCGCCCUGCACCACCGGCUGGGCCAUGGCAAGC